CCCUUAGAUGUUCUGGGCCGCACGCGCGCUACACUGAUGCAUUCAACGAGUCUAAAACCUGCUCUGAUAGGGGUGGGUAAUCUUUUGAAUGUGCAUCGUGAUUGGGAUAGAUGAUUGCAAUUUUUCAUCUUCAACGAGGAAUGCCUAGUAAACGCAAGUCAUCAGCUUGCAUUGAUUACGUCCCUGCCCUUUGUACACACCGCCCGUCGCUCCUGCCGAUUGAAUGAUCCGAUGAAUAUCAUGGAUUGAGGAUUAUAGCAGGUUCGCCUGUCUUGAUCUUCGAGAAGUGAAGUAAAUCUUAUCAUUUAGAGGAAGGAGAAGUCGUAACA
rnacentral:rRNA from 1 species